rnacentral:lncRNA from 1 species
UCACCUCUCAGUACCACCAAUAUCAUGAUUAUUGAAUGAGGUUGCCUUGAUAAUUCUGCUGAUCUUGCCUGGCUUUACUAAUGUGCCUGAGGUUGUCUAGAAGAUGAAAUGGAAUGGGUGGAUUUGGUGGAAUAGGUGGAUUCGGUGGAAUGGAUGGAUUCAGUGGAAUGGAAAGACGACGAAGCAAAAGUUUUACAUGAUUGACAGCUAAUAUCUGUAACUGAACUGUGAACAGCAAUGAAUGAGAUGUUGUCAACUGUAAAUGGACUGCAUGUAAUGAAGAGGAAAAUGACAAACAUUACAUUACUUAAAAGCAUGAGUAGCUUCUAAGGAAAAAUUGACUGGGAUCCAUCACGGUGGAAUAGGAAGACGAAGGCUGGAGUUGGAUAAUGAUCCUUCUAUUAUGAGCUUUGCAUUCAGCACCACUGACAAAUCAUAAAAGAGACAAUUCUGGGACAUGGACUCUCGGUACAGAUUGCCCAAGACAUCUCACAUGACCAAGCAAUGGGACAUGUCUCUUCUUACCUCAUGAAACGCCCUGCCGCACCCCGCCCCCUUCUGCCACCACCAAGUGAUCAUCCAGCUGACACUUGAGGAACUUUGAUGAUGAGGAGUUCAUCAGUCAUUGGUCAGACUAUUAAAUCUUUCCACAGCUUAGUGAGUUUAUUAUAGUUUUCUUGAUGCAUAAUUCUGCCUGCUACAGAGAUAGAAUUACUUAAGGAUGUUUGAAAUACAGGUAUACCUCAGAGAUACUGCAGGUUUGGUUCCAGAC